CGCGUCACGGCGGCAGGCGGCUCCUCCCGCGGAGGGCGCGGGCGGCCCGGAGACCGGCGGCGGGCAGUGCGCGGGGAAGGCGCCCGCCGCGGAAGCCGGCUGUCCGGCCUCUUCCCGGGGGACCCCUCCGAUCCCGGGCCGCAGCGCGAAGGCCGGCCCGCCUCUCCGUGUGCGCGAAGCUCAGGGACGCCGGGGGUCCUGUCUGGAGGCUCAGACUCCCCGGCGUUUCGCGCUGCUCAGUGUUAGCGACCUCUGCCCGGGGCCCGAGAGCCGCUUGGGCCAAGGCGCCCGGGGCCGGCCAGUGAAGACGACCCUGGUGUGGGCAAGGAGCAGGAGCGCUGGACCGCCGGAGGGAUCAGCGUCGCCCGAGGAAUGGCCUGGCGGACAUGUGGCUGGGGGUCACCUGGAAACUCAAGAGAAAUAGGAUAAAGAGAGGUACAGAAGGUGAAUGGAGAACUAAGAAUUAUAUGAUUCAAUGGGUGUGGAGUAAAGUGGUCAAGAUUUUGAAGCAGAGUGUUUUGUUUUGUU
rnacentral:lncRNA from 1 species